UGAAAGACUGGAUGAACCAAAGUCAUC
rnacentral:piRNA from 1 species